UUUUGAUGAAACAAGAUUAGUUAUAUGGUCCACCGCAGAACCUAUUGCUAAAGCACAAUCCUGAGAAUUUAUAUCCUCCAAAACUCUUUCAUCAGCUACAUUCAGAUCAAUAUCUAAUGGAGGUCGACCAUGCUUGCUGGAGGAAGCUUCAGUAACAGAGAUGGUCAUGGAAUUUGAAUGCAUGUCAGGGGGUUUUCUUGGCUCAGCCGGACGAAAUGCACUUGUGGCUG
rnacentral:misc_RNA from 1 species